GCUGGGUGUGGUGGCGGGCGCCUGUAGUCCCAGCGACUCGGGAGGCUGAGGCAGGAGAAUGGCGUGAACCCGGGAGGCGGAGCUUUCAGUGAGCCGAGAUCGUGCCACUGCACUCCAGUCUGGGCAACAAAGAGAGACUCCGUCUCGAAAAAAAAUAAAAUAAAAAAAAAUAAAUAUGUGUAAUUUUUUUUUUUCCCCCGAGACGGAGUCUCACUCUGUCGCCCAGGCUAGAGUGCAGUGGCAUGAUCUCGGCUCACUGCAACCUCCACCUCCCGUGUUCAAGUGAUCUCCUGCCUCAG
rnacentral:sRNA from 1 species